GUAGUCGUGGCCGAGUGGUUAAGGCGAUGGACUUGAAAUCCAUUCGGAUAUUCCCGCGGCGGCUCGAAUCCUGUCGACUAUG